rnacentral:ncRNA from 1 species
AAGGUUUGGUCCUAGCCUUGAAAUCAGUUCUUAUUUAAUAUACACAUGCAAGUCUCCGCAUCCCUGUGAAAACGCCCUUAAUCCCCUCAUGGGAAUAGGAGCUGGUAUCAGGCUCAACUUCUGCCCAAGACACCUAGCCUCGCCACACCCACAAGGGACCUCAGCAGUGAUUAACAUUGAGCAUAAGCGUCAGCUUGACUCAGUUAAACUUUCUAGAGCCGGCCAAUCUGGUGCCAGCCGCCGCGGUUAUACCAGAAGCUCAAAUUGAUUUCUAUCGGCGUAAAGCGUGAUUAAAGUUAUAUACCUCAUGGAGUCAAAUUAAAACUAAGCUGUGACACGCCUGUUACCUAAGAAGCCCAAAAACGAAAGUAACUCCAACAUUUUUCCACUUGAAUUCACGACAUCUGAGACACAAACUGGGAUUAGAUACCCCACUAUGCUCAGUCGUAAACCUUUAACUACACCCUCUAUCGCCCGGGAACUACGAGCCAAGCUUAAAACCCAAAGGACUUGACGGUACCCCAUAUCCACCUAGAGGAGCCUGUCCUAUAAUCGAUAACCCACGUUCAACCUCACCAUUUUUAGCCUAUUCAGCCUGUAUACCUCCGUCGUCAGCUUACCACGUGAGCGUCAGUGAGCUUAAUGUUACUCAACCACACGUCAGGUCAAGGUGCAACUUAUGAAAUGGAAAGAGAUGGGCUACACUCUCUAAUUUAGAACACACGAAAGACUACCAAUGAAAAUUUGUCAGAAGGCGGAUUUAGCAGUAAACAGAAAUCAAAAUAUUCCGUUUAAUUCGGCACUGGGGUGUGUACACACCGCCCGUCACCCUCCUCUAAUGCUAACCAUAGUUUUUAACCAACUUAAGCUCACCAGAAGAGGUAAGUCGUAACAUGGUAAGUAUACCGGAAGGUGUGCUUGGA